rnacentral:SRP_RNA from 1 species
GCCAGGUACAAUGGCCCAUGCCUGUAGUCCAAGCUAUUCAGGAGGCUGAAGCAGGAGGAUCACUUGAGUCCAGAAAUUCUGGGCUGUCAUGAACUAUGCCUAUGCCAAUCAGGUGUCUUCACUAAGAUAAGCAUCAUUGUGGUAACCUCCCAGGAGUGAGUGGAAGACCAGCAGGUGGGUAAACCGACCCAAGUCAGAAAUGAAGUAGGUCAAAAUUCCUGUGCUGAUCAGUAGUGGGGUCAUGUUUGUGAAUAGCCACUGCACUCUGGCCUGAGUAACACAGUGAGGCCCUAUCUUU